AGGUCAUAUUUUGGUGACACCUUUUAGCCUACUCAUGUCAAUUUGUGCUUCAUAAAGAACAUUUUCUGGAUAUUACUGUGGAAACUGAACCUAAGCGUGCCGACAACAAAGUGUGUUCUGCAGUGAUGAGAAAAGGGGGAAAGUAGAGAUUUUAUGACGUUCAGUGUAGACCGCUGGGUGCUGGGAACCAAAGAUCUUCAGCAUCUCCAACACUCAAAUAGUAGAGUGUGUGUCAUCAUCGAUGCCUUGGUUUUGACUGACCAUGAAUGCAGAGUGGGUGAGCCAGGCCUUGGGCUGCCAGUGGAGGACGUGAAGUCAAGCCAGGGAGCCAAGGCCACUGUCAGCUCUCAGUGGUUAGAAUAACCCAGCAAAACCUCCUGGGAACCGGGCUGGGAUCGGACCAGCGCUAGCUGCCAGAACAAGUGAGAGGCCACAAUUGUUGGUGAGGAAGACCAAUUCAGCAGUUGGAUUUGCAUCGCCAUUCGCGCAGCAUGCCAUCAUCAGCGGCCACCGCCACAGGUAUGGAUUCAGGGCAGCGAGGACCAGCAGGAUUCUGGGAGGGAAUUUGUGAGACGAGGCUUUAAUGAGAACAAGGCCUCAUCCGCUGGCGAGAAAUGUAUGCAAAUGAUAUGCACACACCAAAAGGACCCUGGGUAGGCGAGGCGAGCGCCGGCCGAGCUCCCGCUGAGCUCUGAGGAAGAUGAGCGGCUCAGGUCAGAAGAAUGACAACAAAACACCUCCUCCUCCUUUUCUUCUUCUCUUUCUCUUUCCUUAUGCUGCAUCUGGGGGAGCAGAGAAAGAUGAAAACUGGUGAACACAUAAACUGCGAGAUGAGUUUGUAGUGUUGCUACAUAAUGUUGUUGAUGUGUUUUGGUUUCUGGACUGCUGUUGCUAGGUAGAUUUUUUUUUUUUGUUAUUCAUCUUUGUAAGCACACUGACAUUUGUGGGGUAAAUUAUCUAGAGAUUAAACAUGUCUGUGUUUUACAUCCAGACUUUCCAGAAGUUUAAUUGUCAUAAAUUAUUACUGUAAAAAUAAAAAUAAAAAUAAAAAUUGAGCUCAGCAGAGAACUCACAUUGUGCCCUCUAAUUGUGCUUAUGGAAGUCAUUUUGUCAAUAGAGUAAUGUGACAGUAAUUUCUUUUGACACUUCAUUUGGAAAUUUAAACUCACAACAUGGCUGUUUAAUCACCAGAGUGUAGUGUAUGUAAUAGGCUGUAAGAUGUAAGUUAAAUUACCUGUUUUAAUUCUGUAAUAAAAUGCAUUUGUCAACUAUUAUAAAAGACACUUGUGAUUUA